rnacentral:rRNA from 1 species
UGCGUAGGCGGAAUAUUAAGUCAGUGGUGAAAUCCUGCGGCUCAACCGUAGAACUGCCAUUGAUACUGAUAUUCUUGAAUGUAGUUGAGGUAGGCGGAAUGUGUAAUGUAGCGGUGAAAUGCUUAGAUAUUACACAGAACACCGAUUGCGAAGGCAGCUUACUAAACUAUAAUUGACGCUGAGGCACGAAAGCGUGGGGAGCGAACAGGAUUAGAUACCCUGGUAGUCC